rnacentral:lncRNA from 1 species
UUGGUGACAUCGGAUAAAGCUAAAUCCGACUAAGUGCGUCUUCGAGGUAACUUCGAAAAAGUUUCUUGGGUUCCUCAUUUCUCGGCACGGAAUUGAGGCCAACCCCGAGAAGAUAAAGGCGAUCAUCGACAUGCGGCAUCCAAAUACUAAAAAGGAGGUGCAGUAGCUCAAUAGAAAGAUCAUCGCACUCAGCCGAUUC